GGUAGCCGUGGAGCUUUGAAAGUUGUUGUCUUAACACGGACCUUGUUUUUGAUGUUCAGUUAACAGUGUGCGUCUAUAAACGUCUACAAUUGGAUGCAUUGCUCAAGAAGAGUCCUCUUCUCAUCCAAAGCUAAACUGUAGCGCAACAGCCCUGGAAAGAAAUGUACACUAAAUGCAGUCACCAUGAACACCUUGCACAAAGUUCAACACGUGGAAGGUGGAGUAUCUGCAAGAUGAGAUCUAUUUGUAAUUUAUGCACGCUGAAGUCCUCUACAGUUUAUCUAUUUUUCCAUGGAGAAGUCAUGCCCACUUCAGCUGUCACUGGAAAACAAGACUGCUCCCACGAAUUGUCACCUUGUCUCCUGUAAUAGAACAUGAGAAGAACUGGAAUGAGAGACAACAGAGACAAAACCAGAAAGCACAACUGAUGGAGCCAGAUGGCUGUCCUUGGAUACUGCCUGCGCUGGUGCGGCCACAAAGUCAGCAUACAGCAUGAGACAGAGAGACGGUCCAGUCCCAUGGAUUCUCAUCACUGUGGUUUUGGCCCAAACUGUCAUUGUGCUGAACAGCGCAGCUCAAAGUCUUGAUGAAUUGGUGUGCAGAUUGAGCCUGCAAGAGAAAAAUGUACCGCACUGUCCGGCUCAUUUCCUUUGAGUUAAAUCGUCCUGUUAAAGUACUCCUCUGCGCCUUUGAGACGGCUGAGUUUUGUUUUAAUGGGAUGCUGAACUCGGGAGCUGGCUGACACAGCUACACAGUCAAGGCAAGUAUUUUGCAAUAACUCAGCAUCCUGAAUAUCAACAGACAUUAUACACCACCGCAAAUGUACCACAUUUCAAAUGAUGAUGGGCUUGUCUGUACCUUAAACUUGCAUUUUCGCAACUUGACAAUACAUGAAUGUCAUAUAAAUUUUGGGCCCUUAAUUAUUUAUUAGAAUCUUUAAUUCUCCAGGGUUGCGUUCAUCUGUGGAGGUGGAGAUGCAUUUUGGCUUUGUCCUGGGGUUUUGUCUCGGCGCCCGACAUUACUAGCUUUUGUGAGUAGUGUACUGUAUAUUGAACACAGAAUGUGAACAAAUUUAGUUGUGAUUUCUGUAAUACGGAGAAGGGAUAGGAUUAAAUUAAUUCUGCUAAUUCUUCCUACUCCUACUUCAUGGAAUAACCGUGCAAUAAACCUGUGGCUUGA